CCUACGGGAUGCCGCAGUGAGGAAUAUUGGUCAAUGGCCGUAAGGCUGAACCAGCCAAGUAGCGUGAGGGAAGACUGCCCUAUGGGUUGUAAACCUCUUUUAUGCGGGGAUAAAGGUGUCCACGUGUGGAUGUUUGCAGGUACCGCAUGAAUAAGCACCGGCUAAUUCCGUGCCAGCAGCCGCGGUAAUCCGGAAGGUGCGGGCGUUAUCCGGAUUUAUUGGGUUUAAAGGGUGCGUUGGCCGGUCUUUAAGUGUGUCGUGAAAUUUUGUGGCUUAACCAUGAGAGUGCGGCGAGAACUGGAGACCUUGAGUGGGCGGAAGGCAGGCGGAAUACGUGGUGUAGCGGUGAAAUGCUUAGAUAUCACGAAGAACCCCGAUUGCGAAGGCAGCCUGCCGCAGCGUUACUGACGCUGAAGCUCGAAAGCGCGGGUAUCGAACAGGAUUAGAUACCCGAGUAGUC
rnacentral:rRNA from 1 species